rnacentral:lncRNA from 1 species
UUAAAAUUGAGGUGAACUGUUCAAAUUUAUAAUGGAGAAAUAAUUAUUUAUAACCUUUUGAUAUUUUAUAAUUCUUUUAUAGUCAACCAUCAAUGCAGUGAUUGAGUUCUUUGGAUCAAACAAGGGGUUGCAUCUUGAGCAGAUAACAUCAGCUACAUUGACAAAGUUGGAAAAAAUUAAAGAGAGAAACAGCUGCAGGUGAAUUUGAUUGUCUAUGAGCUCUUAAUCUGCCACUCCCAGCCCAGCAGGCCCAGCCCCCGAGGACGCGGCUGCUGGCGAAAACUGCACUCCUCGGCUCUGGCCCUGCACUCCUCAGUCCUCCCCCUUCGCCUGGCUGCCCGGCCACCGCCCAACCCCAGCGUGACUCAGCUGGACCUGACUCUGACCCGUGACCAGGCGCAACCAUCAGGGGCAAGGACGCGUGCCACACAGACAGGGACCCGCGAUUUCAGGCUGCGCCUUCUCUCCGGCAUCCGCACUGCCUGUGGCUUCUGCGCGCAGCUGGAGCGUCCUCACAAGUGCCCCAAGGGGUCGGACACAUGCUGCCACCAUGUUGCUGUGGCCGCCUGCUGCCGGCGCUGAUGGG